GCACCCGUAGCUCAGUGGGAUAGAGUACUCGGCUACGAACCGAGCGGUUGGGGGUUCGAAUCCUCCCGGGUGCG
rnacentral:tRNA from 1 species